CCUACGGGAGACAGCAGUGGGGAAUAUUGCACAAUGGGGGGAACCCUGAUGCAGCGACGCCGCGUGAGCGAGGAAGUAUUUCGGUAUGUAAAGCUCUAUCAGCAGGGACGAAAAAGGAGGUAACCGAACUAGGAAGCCCCGGCUAAAUACGUGCCAGAAGCCGGGGUAAUACGUAGGGGGCAAGCGUUACCCGGUGUAACGGGGUGUAAGGGGAGCGUAGACGGCAAGGAAAGCCAGAAGUGAAAGGGCAGGGCUCAACCCUGUACAUGCUUUUGGAACUGUGGUGCUAGAGUGCAGGAGGGGUAAGUGGAAUUCCUAGUGUAGCGGUGAAAUGCGUAGAUAUUAGGAGGAACACCAGUGGCGAAGGCGGCUUACUGGACUGUAACUGACGUUGAGGCUCGAAAGCGUGGGGAGCAAACAGGAUUAGAUACCCCUGUAGUC
rnacentral:rRNA from 1 species